UUGUCUGUUGAGUUUCU
rnacentral:miRNA from 1 species